GCUAAUACUGCCACAGCGGAUGGUUCAGCUUCUAGAACGCCUUCCUCUGAGGUGCCAGCUCUUACUUGGUCCCUAGAACUGCUCAGGAGGUGGGAGGCAGGGAGUAAUCACAGGGUGGCUAUGUCUGUGGUGGACCGGCAGGCAGCCUUGGGGACCAGAAGGCAGCUGUGGCAGUACACAGCACCUCCCCAGCUCCUCUGGUGUGGCUGUGUUUCCCAGGAGGUCUCCGUCUCUGGGACAGACGGUAUGAAGGGCUGAGAACUACUGGUGGCGUGGUCAGAACACACGGACGCUGUGUGUGGGACCCUUCCCUCGAAAUGUGGUGACCUCUGUGGCUGGCCUGUCAGCCCAGGACAUCAGCCAGCCUCUACAGAAUAGCUUCAUUCACACAGGGCAUGGCGACAGUGACCCCCGCCAC
rnacentral:lncRNA from 1 species